GAUGAACGCUGGCGGCGUGCCUAAUACAUGCAAGUCGAGCGAACAGACGCGGAGCUUGCUCCUCUGACGUUAGCGGCGCACGGGUGAGUAACACGUGGAUAACCUACCUAUCAGAGUGGGAUAACUUCGGGAAACCGGCGAUAACCCCGGAUAAUCUCUUGCACCGUAUGGUUCAAUAGUGAAAGUCGGUUUUGCUGUCACUUCUAGAUGGAUCCCGGCCGCAUUAGCUAGUUGGUAAGGUAACGGCUUACCAAGGCAACGAUGCGUGGCCGACCUGAGAGGCUGAUCGGCCACACGGGAGCGUAGACGCGGUCCAGACUCCUACGGGAGGCAGCAGUAGGGAACCGUCCGCAGUGGGCGAAAGCCUGACGGAGCAACGCCGCGUGAGUGAUGAAGGUCUUCGGAUCGUAAUACUCUGUUAUUAGUGAAGAACAAAUGUGUAAGUAACUAUGCACGUCUUGACGGUACCUAAUCAGAAAGCCACGGCUAACUACGUG
rnacentral:rRNA from 1 species